UACGUAGGGGGCAAGCGUUGUCCGGAAUUAUUGGGCGUAAAGAGCGUGUAGGCGGCCAGAUAAGUCCGCUGUGAAAUCUCGAAGCUCAACUUCGAGCUGUCGGUGGAAACUAUCUGGCUAGAGUCCGGAAGAGGAGAAUGGAAUUCCUGGUGUAGCGGUGAAAUGCGCAGAUAUCAGGAGGAACACCGGUGGCGAAGGCGGGUCUCUGGGCCGAUACUGACGCUGAGGUGCGAAAGCGUGGGGAGCAAACAGG
rnacentral:rRNA from 1 species